UUUUGAUGGCUUUGCUAUCAUACCACCAGGAAUUGUGCUGAAAUUUGGGAUAUCAGUUGAUCUUCCUGGUUUGGGAAUCUCAUCUUUUGAAGAAAAACCUGAACUGAAGCUGUGGUUAAGAUCCACGACUGAAGCACCGGUGGAUGGAGUUGGGUAUCAAGUCAAGCCCGACAUUAGACGUAAAUAAAAGGGUUGACGACGGUGGAACAUUUGGCCAGCAGCGACGGCGUGAUGCUUGCCUCCGGAGUCAGCAGGUCGGGGGGUCCGAAGGUGGCGAGCAGUGCUGCAACUCCAUACGGCAGCCAGCAGACCAGGAGCCACCAGGAAUGACCACGUUGGGAUAGACGUCAGUUUCCAUUUAUCCACAUCAUUACACACAUCAAGCACUGUGGCCACAGACUCGGCGUUCCAGUCCACAGGACGACUCAUCGACUUCUGGGAAGAGCUGCCAUGUGAUCGCUGAGGAGACAAACAGAAACAAAGUGCACCAGGGUCGCGGAAGAGCUGCAGCCUCUCGGAUGCUUUAUUUCUCCCCCUUUUUUUAUUAGAUUUUUGUUAUUUUAAUAACUUAAAAGGUGCAGUUAUUAUAAAAAAGAAUAAGAGUAAAUCAAAACUAA